rnacentral:rRNA from 1 species
UACGGGGGGGGCAAGCGUUGUUCGGAAUUACUGGGCGUAAAGGGCUCGUAGGCGGCCAACUAAGUCGGACGUGAAAUCCCCAGGCUCAACCUGGGAACUGCGUCCGAUACUGGAUGGCUUGAAUCCGGGAGAGGGAUGCAGAAUUCCAGGUGUAGCGGUGAAAUGCGUAGAUAUCUGGAGGAAUACCGGUGGCGAAGGCGGCAUCCUGGACCGGCAUUGACGCUGAGGAGUGAAAGCCAGGGGAGCAAACGGG